ensembl:lncRNA
UAUAUAUAUAUAUAUAUAUACCAUUAUUAUUCUGUUAUAUUAAUGGAAUAAAUUCAGCUAACAAGAACACAACUGGGUGUUUUUGAUUUACAACUUUAAAUUAUAUUGAUCAAUAAAACAGUCAAUUAAACAGAUUCAUGGUGCAUUUUGUGGCUGAACUGUUGUUAGUGAACCAGUUAAAUACACACUCAGUUAAGGCUCAUCUUUUAUUAGUAAUCAGAUCUUGCACAUGGACGAGUAUAAAGCACAUUUACCAACUGCAGAUGUUCACAACAAAGCCAUCAUCACUAAAAUUAGAUCCUCAAGGCCGUCUGUCUGUCUGUCUCUGUAUGUAUCUUUCUGUCUAUAUCUGUAUCUGUCUGACUGUCUUUGUUUGUUUUUCUAUGUCUGUCUGUCUGUGGUCUUUCUGUAACUGUCUUUUUGUCUGUGUGUGUGUGUGUGUGUUAAUAUUAUUUAAAUACAAAAAUGCUUGAAUAAAUGAAUUUCUUUUUGUGUGUAUGUAUAGAUAGAUAGAUUAUUAAAAAUUAUAAUAAAACUAAAUGACAUAUAUAUACAGUAUAUAAACACACAUAUAAAUCCUGUAAAAUUAUGUAUUUUAAAUGUUUUGCAGAUAGUAUUACCCACAGAACUGAAAUAAUUUAAAUGCUUUUCUAAAUUAAUUAUUCUUAAAGAAGAAGAGAGUGCACUUUUCUUGCUAAUUUAUAUAUUAAUUUACAGUUGUGAAUUAUGAUUUGCUACUUGCUAUUGCAAGUUAAAAGUAGGUGUUAUUAGGGUGAAUUUUUGAUUGAAUGUUGACUUGAAGCUUCAGUAUGUGUUGCAUCGGGAAUAUUUGCAUUCAUGUUAAAAAGUGCAAUUGAGACUAAUUAGGAUCAUUAAGAAAGACUGCAUAGAGUAUGUGUGUACCUGACUACACUUUGAACCCAGUGUUGUGUUUGUCGGUGUGUGUAGAAAAGAGUUGAACGAUCUCCAGGUUGUGCAUUCUGUGUUUUAUUAUCCAGCCUUGGAAUAACAGUAUCUCUCCAUCAGCGAUGAAUCAAGCGUACAGUCAGUCACCUUCACAUUACAGCAGCAGCAUCUCUCAUCCACACUAAAGGAGAUGAAGAACGCAUUCAAGCUAAAGAUCUCAUACCCACCUACAUCUCCACCGCAGCGUAAUCGCUGAAUGUUAUGUUCCACAUGCUGAAAAAUAACAGCUGUAUCUUAUGAAUAUUUAUGAUAAAUAUAGCUAUUGGUGAUAAAUAUUUAAUUGUAGCUCUUUCAGAGGCCUGUUCAUUUGCACAGACUGAGAGAUCUAUCUAUCUAUCUAUCUAUCUAUCUAUCUAUCUAUCUAUCUAUCUAUCUAUCUAUCUAUCUAUCUAUCUAUCUAUCUAUCGACACGUUUGAUAGAGGCGGGGCAUAGAGGACCUUCAAUAAUGUACAGUAUUUGAAAAAUAAUGUGUUUUUUGAACAUUAAAGCAUGUCAACAUAUUCUGUUACACCAAAUACACAAAAUAACGAUCUUUAAAAAAGCAUCAUAUGACCCCUUUAAUCACAUUUUUGCCUUAAUAAUUCUUUUAAUUGGUCAAAGGCAAAACAGGAGAUUGAAAUGGAAAAAUCUUAAAGGGAUAGUUCACCCAAAAAUGAAAAUUAGUUGUUAAUUUACUCACUCUCUGGUCAUCCAAUAUGCAGGUGUCUUUUAUUCUUAAGUAGAACAGUAAAGAAGAUUUUUAGCUAAAACUGUGCUCCUUGAAGAUUCAUAAAAUGCAAGUCAGUGGCUACUGGCACUUAAGAGUCAAAAAAUGUAAAUACAGGCAAAUAAAAUGAAUAUCCGAAUCUCCUCAUGAUAUAUUGAGGUCUUAUGAAGUGAAACAAUCGGUAUGUGCAAGAAACUUAACAUUAUUUACAACAUUAUUACUUGUAAUCCAGACCCUCAGGCAAACAGUGCGGAGUGAUGUCCGAUUCAUAAACGAAUCAUUCUUUUGAGUCGGUUCUUUUGCAAACUAAAUGAACCAGUUCACCAAAUCAGACUGAACUGUUGAAAGAGUUCACGGCUCAAGCAGCCCAGAUCUACAAGUCACUCAAUCAAAACUCACUUUCAGAUGCCCGAUAGUCACUCCGACUCACAAAAUGAGCCAAAGAAGUGGUGUAUUUGAUCCUGUGAUGAAUGAACUGAUUCAGCGCUCCAGUUCCUCUAACAGUCACUGAACUGAGGAAACAGUUCGAUAUCAUUUGAUAUGCGCAUACAUGAAACAAUCUCAUGCUGCAUGUAAAAAGUUGAGCUGCUGAAGACUCGUUUAUUCACUUUAUAUAUAAAACAUCCACGUUUCACAUCAUUAUUGCGUGUUUUAAUAAUAUAAUUGCGUAUGCAUUACAUCAUGAUUACAUAAACAAACUAGUGAAUUGAAUCAGUUCAUAGAAACGAAUUGAAAGAAAGAAUCAGUUCACAGAAAAGAACUGGAUUUUCUCAUUUGCCUGAGGCUCUGGAUUACAAUGUUGUAAUUAAUGU